UACGAAGGGGGCUAGCGUUGCUCGUAAUCACUGGGCGUAAAGCGCACGUAGGCGGAUCUUUAAGUCAGGGGUGAAAUCCCAAGGCUCAACCUUGGAACUGCCUUUGAUACUGGGGAUCUCGAGUCCGGAAGAGGUUGGUGGAACUCCGAGUGUAGAGGUGAAAUUCGUAGAUAUUCGGAAGAACACCAGUGGCGAAGGCGGCCAACUGGUCCGGCACUGACGCUGAGGUGCGAAAGCGUGGGGAGCAAACAGG
rnacentral:rRNA from 1 species